rnacentral:misc_RNA from 1 species
GCAGCUCUAAAUGGGUGGUAAAUUUCAUCUAAAGCUAAAUACUGGCCGGAGACCGAUAGCGCACAAGUAGAGUGAUCGAAAGAUGAAAAGCACUUUGAAAAGAGAGUUAAACAGCACGUGAAAUUGUUGAAAGGGAAGCGAUUGCGAUCAGACUCGCCUGCGGGGUUCAGCCGGCAUUCGUGCCGGUGUACUUCCCCGUGGGCGGGCCAGCGUCGGUUCGGGUGGCCGGUCAAAGGCCCCGGGAAUGUGUCGCCCUCCGGGGCGUCUUAUAGCCCGGGGUGCCAUGCGGCCUACCUGGACCGAGGAACGCGCUUCGGCUCGGACGCUGGCGUAAUGGUCGUAAGCGACCCGUCUUGAAACACGGACCAAGGAGUCUAACAUCUACGUGAGUGUUUGGGUGGCAAACCCAUACGCGCAGUGAAAGCGAACGGAGGUGGGAACCCUUCGGGGCGCACCAUCGACCGAUCCUGAUGUCUUCGGAUGGAUUUGAGUAAGAGCGUAGCUGUGGGGACCCGAAAGAUGGUGAACUAUGCCUGAAUAGGGCGAAGCCAGAGGAAACUCUGGUGGAGGCUCGCAGCGGUUCUGACGUGCAAAUCGAUCGUCAAAUUUGGGUAUAGGGGCGAAAGACUAAUCGAGCCAUCG